rnacentral:rRNA from 1 species
GACGAACGCUGGCGGCGUGCCUAAUACAUGCAAGUCGAACGCACUCUCGUUUAGAUUGAAGGAGCUUGCUCCUGAUUGAUAAACAUUUGAGUGAGUGGCGGACGGGUGAGUAACACGUGGGUAACCUGCCCUAAAGUGGGGGAUAACAUUUGGAAACAGAUGCUAAUACCGCAUAAAACCUAACACCGCAUGGUGUAGGGUUGAAAGAUGGUUUCGGCUAUCACUUUAGGAUGGACCCGCGGUGCAUUAGUUAGUUGGUGAGGUAAAGGCUCACCAAGACCGUGAUGCAUAGCCGACCUGAGAGGGUAAUCGGCCACACUGGGACUGAGACACGGCCCAGACUCCUACGGGAGGCAGCAGUAGGGAAUCUUCCACAAUGGACGAAAGUCUGAUGGAGCAACGCCGCGUGAGUGAAGAAGGUUUCGGAUCGUAAACUCUGUUGUUGGUAGAAGAAUGUAUCUGAUAGUAACUGAUCAGGUAUGACGG